UGAAGUGAUCUUGGUCUAGUGGCAAAUGAUAAGUCCACAGAAGACAGACACCAUCACACCAGGGAUCGAGUUCCCGACUCUACAAUUUAAUUGUAGAAAUUAGGCUAAUGGGCCGGCCAGUUGUAGCCCAAAUGUUGACAAAAAAAAAAAAAAAAUUUAAAAUACUUAAAAUUAUUACUAUAGGCGACAAUUAAAAUAUUAUAGCCAUAAUAUUUAGGAUCCUAAGCCAUUGCUUAUCGUUGGACCAGUAAUUGAUUGUGUGUAUUAGUUUCUAAUAGGAGUGAACCCAUAAGAUUUAGG
rnacentral:lncRNA from 1 species